GGAAGGUUGGCAUUGGACGGACGUCUUGUUAACCCGGUCAGAUCGGGAACGAAGCAGCCGCAUGCGAGUUUUGUUUGGGUCAGUGUCCAGCCUUCCACA
rnacentral:SRP_RNA from 1 species